rnacentral:ncRNA from 1 species
GUAGAAACUCUGUGGAUAUUAAUCCACGUUACAUUCUAUGUCUAAAUUAUAUAACGGUCGUAAGGUACGCCGGGGAUAACAGGUCAGAUAAUAUUGGGAGUUCUAAUCCUCGGAUUCUAUCAGCACCUCCAUGUCGGCUCAUUACUCCCUUGUUAUUGAACAAGAUUCAAUUAGGAACGCUAGUUCACCGUCAGAUGUAAUACGUGAGCUGGGUUAAGAACGUCUUGAGACAGUUUGUUCCCUA